rnacentral:pre_miRNA from 1 species
GGACCAAUUACGAACCUUGGCACUGGGAGAAUUCACAGGCGCUAUUUUGCUAUCAUUCUGUGGAUCUUUUCGUGCCAUCGUUUGAAUUUGGUCA